CCUCGGACGGUCAGGCUGGCGGUGGAGGUAUGACGGCCCACGGUGAAGGUCACAGUGCCCGAGUCGGCCUGGGUGACCCCCCUGAGGGUGAGGCUGUGCACCUUGCCCUGGGCACGGAUCAAGUUCAUCUCAUUGUUCUGCAGAGGGACGUCAGCAAGCUUCCACUGGACGUCCUUGGCAUUCUCAUGAGACAGAUGGCAUUCAAAGUAGACAUCCUCCCCUUCAAGUACCGAACAGCUGUUCAAGACCUUCACUAUGGUCACCAGCUCUGUUUGAUAAAGUCAGUCAGUGUUACUGGCUAUUAGACAAUCCUUGUCUAAAUGGGGUGUUAAUGUUUAGCUGCCAAGAGAUACAUUCAGUACAGUUACAGAACAGAAACAACUGUGACAAGCAAAGUGAAAGAGACGCACAGUUGCUCCUGUCAACAUAGAAGAAAGACAAAGUGGUGGUAUUAAGGUCAAUCUUCUUAACAGCCAGGUGGAAUUUUAACAGAGGUAGAAGUGAAGAGGAAGAUGGAAGUGUGAAGGAGAUGAAGGACAUUGGAUGAAUUAACUGAAUGAGGAAAUGGGUGAAGAUCCCCCAGAGGUUUUCAUUCUGAGCUCUUUAGGACUAUUGUCCUUCAAAGUCAUGUGUGAUUAGUCUUGUGGGAAUCACUCAGGUUGGAAAGUGGUUGGUAGGGAAAGAGUGAAAUACAGUAAGAAGAGAAACGCUGUGGUUGAAGGUUAAAUAGAGACAAUGCAGAAGUCCCCUACCCUGCACGGUGAGCGUGGAACAAGUCUUCUGGUAACCCGUAUCACAGAUAUACUCCCCAGAGUCAGAACCUUGUAGGUUAUAGAUGAUCAGCUUUACGACGGCCCCUUCCUGUUUCAGCUGAUACUUGUUGUUAGACUCCAGAACCCUGGUGCCCUUGCUCCAGACAACGCUGGCCCCGGGUUUGGUGAUUUCACAUCGGAGGAUUGCAAUCUCAUCUGCGUCCCAGUCUAGAUUCUGUAGUCGGGUUUUGAAAUAAACUGGUAGGGCUGGGUAGAAAUAGUGGAGUUUGGGAGAAACAAGACAGUAACAAGUUUUGAAGGCUUUUGACCACAGUUGUUAGAUAAAUGAGGGAAGGUCUGAUUUCGUUCAACAACUGCUAAACUGGGAGAGGUUUUUCUUAGCAUACCCUUUACAGCAAGGUGUGCUGUGGAUUUCCGGUCACCACUGUCACAGGUGUAGCAGCCAGAGUCUUCUGGGUCUAAGCUGUGGAUGACUAGUCUGACGCUGUGCCCUUCCUGGAGGAUUUCAUACUUGGCACAGGCACAUAGACCCACCUCCCCCUUCCUCCAUUCCACAGACACCCCAGGUUUAGAGAGCUCACAGUGCAGGGUAACACUGGACCCCUCCUCAGCCUCUUGGCUCUGCAGUUCUUUGGUGAAAAUGACUGGGAUAGCUGACAAAGCAAAAUCCCAUGAGAUAAAUUAUAAGUCUACACUUCAAUUUCUGACACAGAAAAAUGAGAAAUGGUAUUAAUUAUGCGCAGGGUACCAAACGAGCAUAUGGUCUAGGUCUAGGUCGCCUGGGCUCCAGGGGCUCCCGAACAUAAAAAAGAAAAUACAUUUUCAUUCUAUUUAUUAUUGUUUUACAUUUUAGUAAUUUAGCAGGCACUCGUAUCCACAACAACUUAAAGGAGUGCAUACAUUUUCAUAAAAUCAAACCCACAACCCAGAGGUUGGAAGCAUCAUGUUUUAACCAAGUGUGCUACAGUAUAUGGGAAAUGUAGCUUUCAUUUAGUUUUCGGGCAUUUUACAUUGGGGUUCCUCUGAUAACAUUUCCUCUGACGACAUUUCUCAAAGCCUGAGGGCAAAAUGUGUGCUGUACAAAAGUAAUAGCAAGAAAUGAACUUUAAAACAACAAGACUUUCACACCUGGCAAAAUGUCUGGAAAUGUAGAAAGAUAGGGUUUAAAAACAUCAGAAUCACUUUUCCAGGGUAAUAGUUUUGUUGUAUAACUGCUUUUACUUGAUGUUGAUGUGUCAGUAAAAAAAUGGGGCAGCAGUGAAAAGGUCUUCAUCCUACCAUUCACUUUCAGGCAAGCCGAGGUCUCUGUGUCUCCAGUUUGACAGUGGUAGCUUCCCGUGUCUUCAGGUUUCAAAUCACAAAUCUGCAUCUCCAUGCUACAUCCUGUUUGCUUCAUCUGGUACUUUUCCCCAGACUUCAACACCUGUGUUCCCUUCCUCCAUUCCACAGAUACCCCAGGUUUAGAGAGCUCACAGUGCAGGGUAACACUGGCCCCCUCCUCAGCCUCUUGGCUCUGCAGCUUUUUCAUGAACGUCACUGGCUGAGCUGA
ensembl:lncRNA